rnacentral:rRNA from 1 species
UACGUAGGGCGCAAGCGUUAUCCGGAAUUAUUGGGCGUAAAGAGCGUGUAGGCGGUUUGGUAGGUCCGCUGUGAAAACUCGAGGCUCAACCUCGAGACGCCGGUGGAAACCAUCAGACUAGAGUCCGGAAGAGGAGAGUGGAAUUCCGCGUGUAGUGGUGAAAUGCGUAGAGAUGCGGAGGAACACCAGUGGCGAAAGCGACUUUCUGGUCCUUAACUGACGCUGAGGCGCGAAAGCAUGGGGAGCGAACGGG